AGAAUCUUUCGCAAUGCCCGAAAGGGUGACGAAGCGACGCCGCGUGUGGGAAGAAGGCCUUCGGGUUGUAAACCACUGUCGGGAGUUAAGAAAUGUAAGGAUGUUAAUAGCGUCCUUACUUGACUAAGGCUCCGGAGGAAGCCACGGCUAACUCUGUGCCAGCAGCCGCGGUAAUACAGAGGCGGCAAGCGUUGUUCGGAAUUAUUGGGCGUAAAGAGCACGUAGGCGGCCUUGAAAGUCAGUUGUGAAAGCCUUCUGCUUAACGGAAGAACAGCAUCUGAUACUACAGGGCUUGAGUGCGGGAGGGGAGAGUGGAACUUCUGGUGGAGCGGUGAAAUGCGUAGAUAUCAGAAGGAACGCCGGCGGCGAAAGCGGCUCUCUGGCUCGUAACUGACGCUGAGUGUGCGAAAGCUAGGGGAUCAAACGGGAUUAGAUACCCCGGUAGUCCUAGCCGUAAACGAUGGGCACUAAGUAGAGGGGUUUUGAUUAUCUCUCUGCCGGAGCUAACGCAUUAAGUGCCCCGCCUGGGAAGUACGGCCGCAAGGCUAAAACUCAAAAGAAUUGACGGGGGCUCGCACAAGCGGUGGAGCAUGUGGCUUAAUUCGAUGCAACGCGAAGAACCUUACCGGGGUUUGACAUGGUAGAAGUAGGAACCAGAAACGGUAACGAACGGUAUCCAGUCCGUAACUAUNACAGGUGUUGCAUGGCUG
rnacentral:rRNA from 1 species